UACGGAGGGUGCAAGCGUUAUCCGGAUUUACUGGGUUUAAAGGGUGUGUAGGCGGGCUUUUAAGUCAGUGGUGAAAUCUCCGGGCUCAACCCGGAAACUGCCAUUGAUACUAUUAGUCUUGAAUUUUGUUGAGGUAGGCGGAAUAAGUCAUGUAGCGGUGAAAUGCUUAGAUAUGACUUAGAACACCAAUUGCGAAGGCAGCUUGCUAAACAAACAUUGACGCUGAGGCACGAAAGCGUGGGGAGCGAACAGG
rnacentral:rRNA from 1 species